rnacentral:lncRNA from 1 species
UUUGCUACAAAAUCUUUCAUAAGCCUUAUGUUCUUUCUUUUUUCUGUUUACUCCAUCUUUGGACCAGGAGGAGUCAACCCAGAUAUGGCGUUCAUCCACAAGCAGGGCAGGAAGACCAAGUACCCUCAGCCUCCCGCUGGUUGCCAUUAAAGUGCUUCUCUGAUACGGGGAGCCAGUGAGCAGACCUGAGCAGACCGAUGCUAGUUUACAGCAGAGCUCCGUUCAGCUCAGGGGGGAGAAGGCCAAGUCAGAGCCAAGCCCCACGAGAGAAACAGGCUCCUCUGGUGGGAUUUUCCCUGCUGCCCUGCCUGUGGAGGACAAGGAAUCUCUCCCUUGCACCUUGCCCCUAGGGACGAGAGCAUGUCUGUGCCAUCCCGUGGCCCUGGUGCCCAGAUACUUUUCCGGUGGUGGCAACAAUGCUGCCUUCUGGUGCUUCUCCUUCACACUCACAAAAGGUGUGUUAAGCAGAGCAACUCCCUACUCCGCCCAGUCUGCCCUUGCCUUUCCCAAAGCAGGAAGGUAGGAGAUGGCUGGCUCUCUCCAAGUUACUGUUCCGCCUCCUGAGAGAGCAUCACAGGGGUCUCAGGAAAGGAGACCAGGCCCAUUUAUGCCUCGGUCUGGCCAUUCGGAUGUUGCAUCUAGCAGGUGUUCCUUCCUUCAUAGGCCACGGGUAGAACAGCAGUGGAGAGGGUGGCCUCAGAGAUCAUACAAAAUGGGUCUGACAUUCUCUGCUACUUGGUAGUUAUAUACACUUGGGCUAGUUACUUUACCCACCCUCCACCCCUCCGGGUCUUUACCAGCAAUGGGAGGAUAACCAAGUACCCAAUCCAGGGUUUGUAGUUGUCGUUUUGAAGGAUUAAUGAAAUAAUGCAUGGAAGGCGCUUAGCUGAACAACAGUAAAACACGUCAUCAUUAUCAGGUAUCAUUUUAAUAAUGAUGACAUUAUUUCUUUCUUGUUUUUGCCUGUUUUUACAUCAUUUAGGCUAUCUCAUUAGAGAAAGGGGAAGUUCUAAGUCAGAUGCCAAAGUGCUAAAGUUUCCAUUCUAGAGCUCCCAGCAGCUGGGCAGUUGCUUUCACGUGUGCGUCUACACAUUCACAACUAUUCCAUCUCCUCUACUGCAUCACACUCUCAAGGAAAAAGCCCUGGGCUCCUAAUUGUCCGUGAUUCUUGAGCCCCCGUCAUGCAUGUGGAAGGCCAACGACUGAGGGCACAACUCAUGAGAUAAAGGCACAUGAGGUAAAACGGGGCCAACAUGCUCCUGGAUGGAAAUGAACUCAUCAUCGCCCAACACGUUCAAAAACACACACGAACACAAUACUCCACCGGCAGAGAAAAAUAUUAAUAAUAAAUUCUUUUAAGAGAUUUGUUUUAAAGGAUUACAGAGCAAAAAGCAAAGGCUCAAAACAAAAUACAGUGGAAUCCUAUUUCAAUAACACUCUUUAACGUAAAAUCAGGUUUAAUGUAAGUCAGAUGAUGUGUCCUCGAGCACCACAUUUAGAGAAUGGAGAUGUGGUUAUGUCAUUAUCGUUAUAAGCUCUGCCCUCAUUCAUGGAAGUGUUUUUCAGGUUUCAGAGGACAUUUAGAUAUCAACAUGCAGCCCUAAAACGACCAAUCUACACGAACCAUUCAUUUGCUGAUGCUCUAAAUCAUAUUCUUUAUGGUACGUUCUCUAAAGCUUGUAGGUACGGAGUAAACCAGCAGAGUCUUCCAACAAUAAAUAACUGCAUCAAAAAAUUUUGCCACGUUUUUGACAAAAUGGUCAUCUGGUGAAGAGUCGACUGAGAACAUCUGUAAGGAAAUGUUUCCAAUGAUUACAAAGAGUAAAACUGCAUUUGACCAGCGAUCUUAGAAUAAGUGUUUGAAAAAUAAGGCUUCCGCAGAGUAGCCUGGCAUGGUCCAGAGAAGCAAAUAACCACCUGCGGAGACGGAAUAUUCCUGUGCCAAGGGCACGGGCAGGAACUCCGCAGGUACUGUCCACCCCGCUUCACACUUGCUGGAUCACAUUCCUGUUUCUGAAAAUUUCCCAACAGAUUUUCUCUCCCUCCCCCGACUUUUGUAUUAUUCACAUUGUCAUGACUGCACAGAAGCAUUUUCUUAGUAGGCUUUAAUCAUCUAGGGCUUUUGACUCAUAAACAAACAAAAAAACAAAAAACUGGCAUUAAACAUCUUGCCUAAAAUGAACACAGACAAUUACCCAAACAAACCGACCCAUCUCAAGAGGAUCGAAGGUAGCCUCCCUGAAAUGUUUCAGUAUUGUGGGAAAAUAAUGCGGUUCGCCAACAGGAUAGCUCCGGAAGUGCCUAUUUAUUUGCAACAAGGGAAAAGAAAUGUGGAAGCAGCAGUGGGUGGCUGUGGGAACGCUGUCAACAAAGCAUCCCCAGCCGCAAAACUUUACAGCGAAAAACAAAGAAAUAAAGGCCGUGUCUGGUCUGCUGGGGCUAAUAUAACAGAGAAUGUCUGUGGGCCGAGGUUGUGAUUAAAAAUUUUAAACACAGUCCUUUUCAUAACUUAAGGAAACAUAAGUUGGCCUGGUUAAAGAGUUCCCCAGGCCAGCGAGGGGCUGGUGGCGAUGGCUUUACUCUUACUGUCACGCCCCCUCCGACGGAACUAGCCGUGGACACUGAGGAAUAACUCACCAAAAGCAAGAACCUGCUGAGCAUCUGGAAAACUGAAACAGAAGGCGCUUCACAUCCUCACCUUCCACCAGCUGAAGAUGACUCAUUCCGUACGAACAACGAGCAAGGGAAAGGAAUGUCAAGGGUUUGAAAGCAGUCGUC